rnacentral:rRNA from 1 species
UACGUAGGGGCAAGCGUUGUCCGGAAUCAUUGGGCGUAAAGAGCGUGUAGGCGGCCAGAAAAGUCCGCUGUGAAAACUCGAGGCUCAACUUCGAGCUGUCGGUGGAAACUUUCUGGCUAGAGUCCGGAAGAGGAGAAUGGAAUUCCUGGUGUAGCGGUGAAAUGCGCAGAUAUCAGGAGGAACACCGGUGGCGAAGGCGGUUCUCUGGGCCUGUACUGACGCUGAGGAACGAAAGCGUGGGGAGCGAACAGG